UACGUAGGGUGCAAGCGUUAAUCGGAAUCAUUGGGCGUAAAGCGCGUGUAGGCGGCCCGGUAAGUCCGCUGUGAAAGUCGGGGGCUCAACCCUCGGAUGCCGGUGGAUACUGUCGGGCUAGAGUACGGAAGAGGCGAGUGGAAUUCCUGGUGUAGCGGUGAAAAUGCGCAGAUAUCAGGAGGAACACCAAUUGCGAAGGCAGCUCGCUGGGACGUUACUGACGCUGAGACGCGAAGCGUGGGGAGCAAACAGG
rnacentral:rRNA from 1 species